rnacentral:rRNA from 1 species
GACGUAGGGCGCGAGCGUUGUCCGGAUUUAUUGGGCGUAAAGAGCUCGUAGGCGGCUUGUUGCGUCGACUGUGAAAACCCGCAGCUUAACUGCGGGCCUGCAGUUGAUACGGGCAGGCUAGAGUUCGGUAGGGGAGACUGGAAUUCCUGGUGUAGCGGUGAAAUGCGCAGAUAUCUGGAGGAACACCGGUGGCGAAGGCGGCAUCCUGGACCAAUUCUGACGCUGAGGAGCGAAAGCCAGGGGAGCAAACGGG